rnacentral:tRNA from 1 species
GUCUUUAUAGUUAAACUUAUAACCUUGUCUUUUCGUGACAAAAGUGGCCAAAAGGCCUAUAGAUU